CAAACUUUCAACAACGGAUCUCUUGGCUCUCGCAUCGAUGAAGAACGCAGCGAAAUGCGAUAAGUAGUGUGAAUUGCAGAACUUUGUGAACCAUCGAAUCUUUGAACGCAAAUUGCGCCUUCUUUCGGAAGGUAUGUCUGUUUGAGGGCACCA
rnacentral:rRNA from 1 species